ensembl:lncRNA
UUAUAGGUAAAAUGUGGUUUUUGGAGCACACACAGUCUUCCUACCUCUAACAUACAGGAAGUCCUUUCUCCUAGGGUCUUCGUGUCCUCCUGGAUGCACUUGAGGAAGGUGACUGAGCUCUGGGAAGGUGGUAUUGCCCUUGCAGGGCAGCCUGCAUGUGCUUUAUGAUUUAUUCACUGUACCAUGUUAGCCCAGGAGGCCUCUGUCAGGAAGCCUUCCUGGACUUCUGCCCUCUCCCGAGAGAUCCACUUGCCCAGGUGACUUCACUCAGCCCUCUGUUGAGUGCUAAUGUUCAUUCAGACUUCCUCAGUGACUGGGUUUCCCCCCACCUCCCAGGGUCUUGUGUUGUUAUUCAAGCCAAGGUACUCAAGCCAUAUGGAAUCCUGUACGGAACUAGGCCUUGGGGCCACACAGUGGACAAGAUGGAUCGUCUCUGUCAUCAGGGAGUCAUCUGAGCUAAAUGGAAUGAUGUUGGCAGAUAAUCCCACAGAUAAGAUAUAACAAGCGCCCUAAGAGGAGAGGACCUGGUGAGGUUCAGGCUGAGGCCUGAAGACCAGUGUGAGUGCUGGAGCCAUGAGAUAAUAAAGGAAAUGUUAUUUCUCACUGUCUAAUCAAAGCAUCUCUGGCUUAUAGCUAAAGAGACUGACUGGGCUGAAAGUAACAGGAAGGACUAUCAGGAUCUGCCUGCCCUGGAGGGCAGUGUUGGGAGAGAGUGAGAGGGUCUAAGGUUGACCUGUUGGUGUCAGGCCCACAAACUCAGUCCUGAGUGAGAAGCCUUCAGUUUCCAGCUGAUGGAACCAUCACAGAUAAGGGUGUGCUGGGGAUAGGGGUGACCCAAUCACAGCAGCGUUUAACUUAGGAUGGGAUUUUUUUCCAUUGGGAACACAAUAGCAUUUGAGCAGUGAAAGCAACAGGUUGGCAGGAAGGCCCCUGCCCUUUCUAGAUCAUCACAAAUGGGGAGAAGUGGAUCCAAGGAGCCAUGAUGGAUGAGGAAGACAAGGCAGGGAAAAAAGCAGGCUGGGGAGGGAAGACAGAGAAAGAUGAGAGACUCCCAUUGAACAGCCACAGGAAACCAUCAGGGAGGGGUCGUUCUUGUGUUCAGUCAGCUGGCCAAGCCAGAACCCAAGCUCCUGGCAUCUAGUGCAAAGCUCACUCUCACUCCCAACCCCCUCCCCCAGCCCACCCCCAAUGGGAGAAAGGGUCACUGCUCUGGCAAGAAGGAAGAACUAAGCAGUGCUAUCCUUGGCGAGCAAGGGAAGGUGAUCCUGACUAAUAGCCAGAAGAGGGGCAGAGUUUGGUCUGCCAGGUUCAGGGAGAGAAGUCCACAUCUUGCGAAAAACUUGGGUUAUAGAGUGUUCUUGAGGUAAAAGGGAGUAGCUGGCUGAGCAACAGCUGAAGGUUUCAGACAGAAGCCCUGGGUCUACCUCUCGGCUGUCAGGUCUUGGUGGGGUGAACUUGGGGAACAACUUAGGACUGACAAAUGUGAGAGAUGAGGUUUUGGGGAGCCUAGACCCUAUGGCCCCGCCUCUGUGACCAUAUGUCCCUGAGCCUCAGUUUCCUCACCAGUAAAACGGAGAUCGUAGCACCCACUGGAGCUUGACUCAAGGCCGAGUCUUCACACAUGUUCUCGCCUCUCUUCUGUGCCCCCACUGCCCUCCACCUACCCUAGCUUCUUAAGGAUGCAAUCUGAUCACCCAGCUCUCUCGCUCAUUCAUUCCUACAGGGAGUAUUUGCCAGGCCCUGUACCAAACCCAGAACCUGAGAAGGCUGUGCGCUGCUUGAGGAGCUCAGCAGGAGGGAGAGCUCCGAGGCAGUCCUGUAGGCGCAUAAUUACAGUGCCCGUCAUCAGGGCUGCACAGAGUUAGGGAGAGAUCUCAUUUGGGAGGCCGUAUGUCAGCACCUCCACAGGAAUUCCCUUAAUUAUUUUUUACAAGCCCCAAAAUGACAGUAUCCUAAAAGGGAGGGGGGCACCUAGACAGUGCUCUUUCCUGAGAGGCCAGAGUCCUGCUUGGCCACUGGCUUGCCCAGGACCAUCCAGGAAUUUUUGCCUCUUGGAGAGAAAUCCCUGCCUGUACGGCCUUCUCCUCACGAGGGACCCGGAUGUUCGAGAGUGUCGCAUCAGAUACGGGUGAACAUGAACCUUCUCCACAGGCUGGCCAUUGGAGCAGUUCUGGCCUCUCACCUCUCUUCCUGGCAGCUUGUGGAGUGUCUACACGGGGAGGCCUCACCACUUUUUCCAAACCUAAACGCUGCCCCUCGCCGCUUCACACUGCUAGUGGCAGGGAGCUGAGGCCGUGGCCCCAUUCCGACCCUCUUCCAGUGUGACCUUGCCCUCCUCUGCCUCCCCUCCAGGCCCAUUUCCCCAUCUGUUCACCAAAGAGGGGCUGACCCAGGAAGCCGUCCACAUUUCCAAAGCCUUCUGUGAAAUAUCAGUGGACUUUAUCCUUAUUACUUCAGUCUGAGAAAUCUUGAUUGAGAGAAAGUGUGUUAAAACAAGCAUUUGAUCAAAGAAUUUUUUGCAUUAAAGAGUAAACUCUACAUCUCUUGGGUGCAGAAGUAAGUGUCAAGAGUCUUAGAGUCAAAGCAGACUUGGAAGGGUCUCUGAGGGAGGAAGACAAACACAGCCCUUCCGUGGUUCCCUGUCACUUGUGGUCUUGACUCCUAAACUUGGCCAUCAAAGCCCCGCACAACCCUUGAGGGUAGGGGCUUGAACUUUGUCCCCUAACCAGGCACAGUACUUGCCUGACCAGGCAUGGCAUAGACUGCUAGUUGGCUUGCCAGCGGGUGGAUGGCUCAAUCAGUUACUCUCUCGACUCCCUAAGGAAUGAAGUGGGUCGGUCUUUCUUAGAAGUGAAGGAAUUCAGUUUACCUCCCAAGUCUACUCUUGGCAACUCUGAAGUGACAGUAUUUUCCAGCCUCCAGACUAAUAUUUUACACACACAUAUCACAGACACUAACAUGUCACAAAAGAUGCAUGAGAAGAACCUCCUGAAAGGCUCAAUAGCCUGGUAUCCUUCCUUCAACAACAGGUGGCUGUGAGUCACCUCCCCUCAGUGGGCCUCAGUUUCCCUAUUUGUAAACUGAGGCAUUUGGGCAAGAUAACCCUUGAGUUCCUUUCUAGCUCUGGCAUCGCCCUCAGAUGCCCUGGUUCCUAGAGCAGUCAUUGGACAGGGGUCAUGAUGACUCCAGGAUCUGGGUCAAGUCCACAUCUUGGAGCAUGGCGGAAUCGUGGCGAUGGCUGCAGCCCCCAGAAGAUGAGCCAGGCAGGAACUGGCUGAGAGAUUUUUCUGCUCAUGGUGAAAUGUCCUGGCAGAGUCUGUGCAGCUGAUUAUUACAACAUGAUGGAUUGACUAGUUCAUUCUCUCCACUGAGCUGAGAUGAAGCUCCCUCACACACUGAAUCGCCAUGUCUAGGUAGGUCUGAGGCCCUUGUUCUGUUUCACCUGGCUGUGUAUUUCUGUCUGCUUCACACUCUUUCACCAUAGCUUUAGACCACCUUUUGGUACCUGUUAAGUGAAAUGCUUCAUUUCAGUGUGCUUCCUUUUCAAUUAUCUCUGCUAACUAUUAACGCCUCUUCAUGAAUUUGAAAACCUGCUUGCAAGUUCUGUGAAUUUAAAGAUUAAUUUGGGGGAAAUCGACAUUAAUACAAUACUAAGGCUUUCAAUCCAUGAACACAGGAGAUCCCUACACUUAUUCUGAUCAUCUUAUCUCCCCUUCAGUCCCAUUUUAUGGUUUUCUUCAUAAAGAACCUACCCAUUUCCUAAUGUGUUUAUUCCUAUACUUUUUUAUUAUUGUUGUCAAUGAGUUCUCUCUACUUCCUCCGCUUUGUUUUUUCUCUUGCUUGCUACAUUUUUUUAAAUCUACUAAUCACUGUAUUUCAUUCAUAGACACACACAAAGUGAACGUCCUUCCUCCCUGGACACAAACAUGCAAGCACUGCCAAACAUGCAGAGCUGACAUAAUUGGCUGGAAAUGAAUGGGAAUUUUUCCAAAUUAAAGUUUAAUGACACAAGCGCAACAUGAAUACAUUCUCCUUUUUAAGAAAUAGAACAUUGCCAAUGAAGCUCAAGUCCCUUUUGGCCACCCACUGCCAUCCCAUUUCCUUCUUCUUCCCCCGAGGCUGCCACUGUGAUGGGCUCAGUGUUCACUUUCUAAAAACUCGUGCUGUUGGGUGAAAACAUGAUGCUUGGAGCUCUGACAGCCAUCUUGUGACCAGGAGGGGAAGGCCAGGAGAUGCAACUCUGUGCUGACUCCAGCUUGAGCACCUGGCACCACUGACUUCUGGACUUUCUUUGAAAUAAAUAAAAUGUUCUUACUGUUUAA